CGGGUGAGUAAUGCGUGACCAACCUCGCCCCAUGCUCCAGAAUAGCUCUUGGAAACGGGUGGUAAUGCUGGAUGCUCCAACUUGACGCAUGUCUUGUUGGGAAAGUGUUUAGUGGCAUGGGAUGGGGUCGCGUCCUAUCAGCUUGUAGGCGGGGUAAUGGCCCACCUAGGCUUCGACGGGUAGCCGGCCUGAGAGGGCGGACGGCCACAUUGGGACUGAGAUACGGCCCCAGACUCCUACGGGAGGCAGCAGAG
rnacentral:rRNA from 1 species